rnacentral:rRNA from 1 species
UACGUAGGGAGCAAGCGUUGUCCGGAAUCAUUGGGCGUAAAGAGCGCGUAGGCGGUCCGGUAAGUCGGUUGUGAAAACUGGGGGGCUCAACCCUCAGACGCCGACCGAUACUGUCGGGCUAGAGUCCGGAAGAGGCGAGUGGAAUUCCUGGUGUAGCGGUGAAAUGCGCAGAUAUCAGGAGGAACACCAAUGGCGAAGGCAGCUCGCUGGGACGGUACUGACGCUGAGGCGCGAAAGCGUGGGGAGCGAACAGG